GGCGGUUAGAACUUUCACUUACAAUGAAAGACACCCUUUAGGGCGCUUUUAUACUGUUAAAACCUUAAG
rnacentral:tRNA from 2 species